UGGUAGAUGCACCUUGAUCUUCAACUCCCCCUAGCUGGUUAACACCGACUGGGGGAUUUUUUU
rnacentral:sRNA from 1 species